UUUCCGUAGGUGAACCUGCGGAAGGAUCAUUAAUGUAACCGGACUGUUCGGGUGCCGUACAACGCAUCUGUUCGGAAAGGGAGAUAUCAUACACCCUAUGUUUAUUUACUUUUGUUGCUUUGGCGGGCCGUCCUUUUAGGCAUCGGCCCUGGCUGAUCGUGCCCGCCAGAGGACCUAAACUCUUCUAUCAGUGAUGUCUGAGUACUAUAUAAUAGUUAAAGCUUUCAACAACGGAUCUCUUGGUUCUG
rnacentral:misc_RNA from 1 species